rnacentral:rRNA from 1 species
AUUGAACGCUGGCGGCAUGCCUUACACAUGCAAGUCGAACGGCAGCACGGGUGCUUGCACCUGGUGGCGAGUGGCGAACGGUGAGUAAUACAUCGGAACGUACCUUAUCGUGGGGGAUAACGCAGCGAAAGCUGUGCUAAUACCGCAUACGCCCUGAGGGGGAAAGCGGGGGAUCGAAAGACCUCGCGCGAUUAGAGCGGCCGAUGCCUGAUUAGCUUGUUGGUGGGGUAAAAGCCCACCAAGGCGACGUUCAGUAGCUGUUCUGGGAGGACGAACAGCCACACUGGGCCUGAGACACGGCCCAGACUCCUACGAGAGGCAGCAGUGGGGAAUUUUGGAGAAGGUGGGCAACCCUUAUCCAGCAAUGCCGGGUGAGUGAAGAAGGCCUUCGGGUUGUAAAGCUCUUUUGUCAGGGAAGAAACACCGGCUCUAACACAGUCCGGGAAUGACGGUACCUGAAGAAUAAGCACCGGCUAACUACGUGCCAGCAGCCGCCGUAA